AAUAAGGAUUUAUUUGAAUCCAUGAUCAGUAAAUAAAAGAGAUUA
rfam:Alligator mississippiensis ScZkoYb_22, whole genome shotgun sequence.